CCGACUUGGCUGCCAGUUGUCGGGACGGGUCGGCAAAGCGGUGAAGGUCAGACAACCCAGUCGGGUCGGAACGCUAUUUCUGUGCUUCGAUAUGAAGGAACGGGACGCACAAUCUCUAUGACUGGCAUCACUUCGUCUCGAAAUGUCAGCAUCAAUGGAUCAAUGCUGCUUGGAAAUUCUGGUUAGUUUGUAUCUAUUCCAUUUCCAAUAUCUUUGAUUAUGAUGAUUUUUGAGAUCAGUUUUGUUCUUGGUACACUGGGUAUUAGAGGUCUACUUCACAAAUAUUAAUUUGGGGCAUAUUGAUUUGUAAAGACUGUUCUCUCACCGAUCGUCUCUCCAAUGCUCCAAGUGUGAAAUUCAUCGUCUCAUUGCUUCGACUUGCCGACACCAGGUCCCAUCUCCUCUCUCUCUCUCUCUCUCUCUCUCUCUCUCUCUCUCUCUCUACCUCCUCCUNNNNNNNNNNNNNNNNNNNNGUGGAACAUGUAGAAAGAGAGGACACAACAUGCGAACUUGUGAUGCAAGAGCUGACAGG
rnacentral:lncRNA from 1 species